AAACCCCUGUACCCCUACUCUCUACACCAGAUACAACUAAACCCCCUGUACCCCUACUCUCUACACCAGAUACAACUAAACCCCCUGUACCCCUACCCUCUACACCAGAUACAACUAAACCCCCUGUACCCCUACCCUGUACCCCUACACUCUUCACCGGCUACAACUAAACUCACCUAAACCUACACUCUGUACCCCUACCCUCCAUUGCCCUACACCACUAUCCUGCCCCUGAGAAGGAGAGUAGAGGACACAAUGGCAAGAGCGAGAGGAAGAUGGCAAGGAGGAUGAGGAGGUCAGAGGAAGUAGCAUUUCUUUGGUAGAGUGUGCUCCAUCUGACAGAUUGAGAAUUUUUUUUUUCAUGAAAGAAAUGCAAAGUAAUACACAGUGGGGAGAACAGGUAUUUGAUAACCUGCCGAUUUUGCAGGUUUUCCUACUUACAAAGCAUGUAGAGGUCUGUAAUUUUUAUCAUAGGUACACUUCAACUGUGAGAGACGGAAUCUAAAACAAAAAUCCAGUGUAUCAAAUACUUGUUCUCCCCACUGUGUGUGUGUGUGUGUGUAUGUAUAUAUAUAUAUGUAUAUGUAAGUAAGGGAUAAGGUACUGUAGAAGUAAGGAAUGAAGACGCCAAAGUUCUGCGCAUUACCUUGGAAAAAAUGGAGGACAAGGCAGAGCCGAGUCUCUUUGCGGGGGUCAUUUUUCUAAGAUGGUGUACAGAACGUCGGCGUCUAUCCCGCUUAUACCACAGUUCCCACAAUUAUUUUGUUAUAAGACAAUUCAUGCUUUCUUAUCUUUUGGUUGCUAGAGACGUGACCCAGUCGGUCGUUCAAUACUGUCCUUCUUAUCUUUUGCUUGUUAACUAGCCAACUAGCUACGGCUAACACAGUCACGACGUCGGCAGCCAGAAUAACAGCAAAGUAGCUGGAUUUUUGCAUUUUUGUUUAAGCUGUUUUCUAGUGACAUUCAUUUGGAUAAUGAGCUGAUGAUCCCCCCUGGCAUAGUGCCUUCUCAUCAUGACGACGAGAUCACAUUGCAUAUCAAACACUAACGCAAGGCUAGACGCUAAGUAGUUUGUUGCUAGCAAACCUGCUAAAAUGACAACCUAAUUCAAACAUAUCAAUUGCUGAAAACAGCUGGACAAACUCGAAAUGUCACGUGGCAGGAUUUGAAAGCAUAGCCGCCCAUUUGCGUUACGACUAUACCGACAGUAGGGGACCGGAGAAAUCCAUGUUCAUCACACACCACGUUGGGUCAUCAGAUGCUCCAAAAGAAAAUGUCAAAAGCAACAACAACAACAAAAAGCUAAAUCAAUUGCUACCUAGAUAGACCUGCGUUUAGUGUGGUUGUUGGUUUAGCUUUCUGUAACUUUGUAGUAUGGGCUGCAUGUGUGUCGGUGCUUAUUGCGUUAUGAUUACAAAGUGAGCCCCGUUAUCUUUUCCAACUCCCAUUUAUAUCUGGUUUUAAUGUCCAGUCUAGAUUGUCCUUCUAGCUAAUCAGAAACGAGUAUUCAACAAUGCUGUGGUAUAAUUUAAAGUGUAAUGCUUUACUUUUGUUUAAACUAAUCCCCAACAUCGCUAAACACACAGCAACAACUUGUCUGAGGCAUUUCUGGUCUGUUCGUCUCUUAGAAGGGUUUUAAUAUCUGUUUCCACCUUCUCUGUCUGGGUUGGAGUUUAGAGAGAAUGUUUUUUUUUUUUUGACUUGUUUCUGACUCAGAAAGCAGGAAGUAGAUCCUUCAAAGCAGGAAGUUAAAUGUGAAAUUAUUGCUUUUUAAUGAAAAUUCCACUAUAUUUUGGACAAUCAUGGUAGGCAGCUGAGGCAGAGCUGUGUCCUUUGUACCUCACCAACAAUACUUGGUCUUCUGUGUUAUUGUACGUAGUUGUUGUUAUUUGUGAACUCAGGUUCACCUUUUUAUCUCAUAUUAGGUUGUGGUUGAAGAUCUGAUAACAUUCGGUAUCAAAAAUAGAGAAAAUCAGAAACUACUUUUUCACGGCAUUGCUAUUCCAAAUUUUACACUUACACCGCUCGAACAUCGAGAAGAUUCAAAUACUGCUCGGUUUUUUCCUGGAAAACUUGACUUUUUUUUCGUCCUCAUGCUGAGCUAGCAGUAGCCACAGUAUCUUCUGGCAAAUUACACCUACUUAUACUUUUAUUGUGGACACAAUAUAGUGUGGACAGUAGAAUGAUUUCCAUUAAUUUCUCUGAGAACAAUAUCUUCAUUUAACUCCAUGUCAUCAGGCGGAUGCUGUCCCUCUUCCUCUACUUUCUCCUCCUCUUCCUCACUUCUUCCACUCCUCUGCUCUGGCUCUCUGUGUGUUUUCUCUCCAAUACUACUACUACUACCACCACCACUGCUACAACCUCAACGCGCACAUGUGUGUGUGUGUACACACUACAGUGUGUGUUAGUGUACUCCAAAUGCCUCCCUCUCUGAACCUGGUACUACCACAAAUCUAUUUUUAACUGCUUGUGUUUUAGUUUUCAGAUUUUCUGUGAGGAAGUCAUGUUAAAUGUAACUGGUGUAUGUAUGUAUGUUAGGAUUUUAUUGUCUAUUUUGAGUUUCGCAAAAACAACCGUUUUUUUUGUUUGUUUUUUUCUCGAAUAUUUGAGUUUUUAUUGAUGUUGUCGGAGAAGGGAGGAUAAGAUUUCAAGAUAUCCAAAGUAGUGGUCGUCUGUUGGCCUACAGAUCUGUAUGUAGUCCGACUCUGCAACUGAAUAGGAGAACACGGGUUGUGUCCCAAAAAUGGAAUCAUAUUCCCGAAGCUAACUGGCAACAAUCGGGUCUGGGACCAGGCCAACUGGCAACAAUCGGGUCUGGGACCAGGCCAACUGGCAACAAUCGGGUCUGGGACCAGGCCAACUGGCAACAAUCGGGUCUGGGAUCAGGCUAACUGGCUACAAACGGGUCUGGGAUCAGGCUUACUGGCUACAAAUGUGUCUGGGGCCAGGCUAACUGGCAACAAGCAGAUCUGGGACCAGGCUAACUGGCAACAAACAGAUCUGGGACCAGGCUAACUGGCAACAAUCAGAUCUGGGACAAGGCUAACUGGCUACAAACAGAUCUGGGACCAGGCUAACUGGCAACAAACAGAUCUGGGACCAGGCUAACUGGCAACAAACAGAUCUGGGACCAGGCUAACUGGCAACAAUCAGAUCUGGGACCAGGCUAACUGGCAACAAACAGGUCUGGGACCAGGCUAACUGGCUACAAACAGGUCUGGGGCCAGGCUAACUGGCAACAAACAGGUCUGGGACCAGGCUAAUUUUUUUACGCUCCAGUCUAAGUCUGAGAUCAUCUUCCUUUGUAUUCCCUCCUUUCUUUUCAUUUAUUUCUAAGAAGAUUCUAUUAUCAAGUGAGACAUUUAAAAAAAAAAAAAUUUUAUUGGUUGUAGUCGUUCUUCAAUGUCCCGCCCACUGCAGUCUCAUUUUGAUUUGAUUGGUUGUAUUACGACGGAGAUGUGGUUGUCCCACCUAGCUUAUCGUAACAUGAAUGCACUAACUUGUAAAUCGCUCUGGAUAAGAAUAUCUGUUAUCAUGAUGACGUUGACAAAUGAAAUGCUAUUUCUGGGACUUCUUUCUCCUCUGCGAUAUUAAACAAGCAACUUGUCUGAGUGAAUGCAAUGUGUAAACAAUACUAAGUUAUACCGGAUCAAGAAAAAUCAUUAUUUUAGAAACUUAAAAAAAAAAAAUUAAAAUAAAGUUUGUGCGAAAUAUAACGAUAAAAUUAUAAUGACACAUUUAUUUGUAUUUAUUAAUUUUUUUGUUCUCUUUUUAAUAAAUGAAUGUCGUUUUUUAAAAUUUUAUUUAACUAGGCAAGUCAGGUAAGAACAAAUUCUUAUUUACAAUGACGGCCUACACCGGCCAAAACCGUAACCCGGACGACGCUGGACCAAUUGUGCACCGCCCUAUGGGUCUCCCAAUCACGGUCGUUAAGUAUAAAUGGUAUGUAAACUAGGUGUGGCCAUUUUGAAUGAAUAGUUGAUAUCUCCUGGAGGUUUAGUGGAAGCAAGUAGAAGUUAGGAGUUUUAUGUUUUAGCAUGGUCAUCUACUGUGUCUGAAAGAGAGAAUGAAGGUCAUUUAUCAGAUGUGCUGUUGUAAAAAAAUAAAUGUUUGAUGCUUA
ensembl:lncRNA